rnacentral:rRNA from 1 species
GACGAACGCUGGCGGCGUGCUUAACACAUGCAAGUCGAACGGAAAGGCCCUGCUUUUGUGGGGUGCUCGAGUGGCGAACGGGUGAGUAACACGUGAGUAACCUGCCCUUGACUUUGGGAUAACUUCAGGUAACUGGGGCUAAUACCGGAUAGGAGCUCCUGCUGCAUGGUGGGGGUUGGAAAGUUUCGGCGGUUGGGGAUGGACUCGCGGCUUAUCAGCUUGUUGGUGGGGUAGUGGCUUACCAAGGCUUUGACGGGUAGCCGGCCUGAGAGGGUGACCGGCCACAUUGGGACUGAGAUACGGCCCAGACUCCUACGGGAGGCAGCAGUGAGGAAUAUUGCACAAUGGGCGGAAGCCUGAUGCAGCAACGCCGCGUGCGGGAUGACGGCCUUCGGGUUGUAAACCGCUUUCGCCUGUGACGAAGCGUGAGUGACGGUAAUGGGUAAAGAAGCACCGGCUAACUACGUG